rnacentral:rRNA from 1 species
AGAGUUUGAUCAUGGCUCAGGGCGAACGCUGGCGGCGUGCUUAACACAUGCAAGUCGAACGAGGAGGCUCUCUUCGGAGAGUAGUACUAGUGGCGAACGGGUGAGUAACGCGUAGGAAAGUAUCCUCCAGACUGGGACAACCAUUGGAAACGAUGGCUAAUACCAGAUGAGACCGAGAGGUGAAAGCGUGCUUCGGCAUGGCUGGAGGAGCUGCCUGCGACCCAUCAGGUAGUUGGUAGGGUAAAGGCCUACCAAGCCAACGACGGGUAGCCGGCGUGAGAGCGUGGCCGGCCACAGGGGCACUGAGACACGGGCCYCACUCUCUACKGKAGGCAGCAGUGGGGRAUAUUGGACAAUGGGGGAAACUCUGAUCUAGCGACGCCGCGUGAAGGACGAAGUCCUUCGGGACGUAAACUUCUGAAUUUAUCGAACAUAAAGUGAGUAGGAUAUGUCUCUAUAUGAGGGUAGAUAAAGAAAAGCCUCGGCUAACUACGUGCCAGCAGUCUGCUGUAUACGUAGGGGGCGAGCGGUUGCUCGGAUCACUGGGCGUAAAGGGGGUGUAGGCGGUCAUCUAGUCAGAUGUAAAGACCUUGGCUCA